rnacentral:rRNA from 1 species
GACGAACGCUGGCGGCGUGCUUAACACAUGCAAGUCGAACGGAAAGGCCCUGCUUUUGUGGGGUGCUCGAGUGGCGAACGGGUGAGUAACACGUGAGUAACCUGCCCUUGACUUUGGGAUAACUUCAGGAAACUGGGGCUAAUACCGGAUAGGAGCUCCUGCUGCAGGGGGGGGGUGGGAAAGUUUCGGCGGUUGGGGAUGGACUCGCGGCUUAUCAGCUUGUUGGUGGGGUAGUGGCUUACAAAGGCUUCGACGGGUAGCCGGCCUGGGAGGGUGACCGGCCACAUUGGGACUGAGAUACGGCCCAGACUCCUACGGGAGGCAGCAGUGGGGAAUAUUGCACAAUGGGCGGAAGCCUGAUGCAGCAACGCCGCGUGCGGGAUGACGGCCUUCGGGUUGUAAACCGCUUUCGCCUGUGACGAAGCGUGAGUGACGGUAAUGGGUAAAGAAGCACCGGCUAACUACGUG